rnacentral:misc_RNA from 1 species
AGGUGUUUGCUCUUGGCAAUGGUCAGUUUGAUUUUGCCUGAGAUUAGAAGCUCCUCCUUUUCACCUGCUAUUUCACAUCUUGUUAAAUAGGGUUCCUGUAUUGAAGUCCAAGUAAUUGCAUGUGUGCAUGCCUACACAUGUGCAUGCAUAAGUUUUCAUAGCCUAAGUUAGUACAAAAAGAUGUUGGGGAAUAGACAUAAAACUACAUUUUACUUUGAG